rnacentral:rRNA from 1 species
AUUGAACGCUGGCGGCAGGCCUAACACAUGCAAGUCGAACGGUAGCACAGAGAGCUUGCUCUCGGGUGACGAGUGGCGGACGGGUGAGUAACGUCUGGGAAACUGCCCGAUGGAGGGGGAUAACUACUGGAAACGGUAGCUAAUACCGCAUAACGUCGCAAGACCAAAGUGGGGGACCUUAGGGCCUCACACCAUCGGAUGUGCCCAGAUGGGAUUAGCUAGUAGGUGGGGUAAUGGCUCACCUAGGCGACGAUCCCUAGCUGGUCUGAGAGGAUGACCAGCCACACUGGAACUUAUACACGGUCCAGACUCCUACGGGAGGCAGCGAUGGGGAAUAUUUCACAAUGGGCGCAAGCCUGAUGCAGCCAUGCCGCGUGUAUGAAGAAGGCCUUCGUGUUGUAAAGUACUUUCAGCGGGGAGGAAGGCGGUGAAGUUAGUAACUUCACCGAUUGACGUUACCCGCAGAAGAAGCACCGGCUAACUCCGUGCCAGCAGCCGCAGUAA